GCCCGGCUGGCUCAGUCGGUCAAGCAUCUGACUUCAGCUCAGGUCACGAUCCCGCGGUCCGUGAGUUCGAGCCCCGCAUCGGGCU
rfam:Felis catus isolate Cinnamon breed Abyssinian chromosome E2, whole genome shotgun sequence.